CCUACGGGAGGCAGCAGUGGGGAAUUUUCCGCAAUGGGCGAAAGCCUGACGGAGCAAUACCGCGUGAGGGAGGAAGGCUCUUGGGUUGUAAACCUCUUUUCUCAGGGAAUAAGCAAGUGAAGGUACCUGAGGAAUCAGCAUCGGCUAACUCCGUGCCAGCAGCCGCGGUAAUACGGAGGGUGCAAGCGUUAUCCGGAAUGAUUGGGCGUAAAGCGUCCGCAGGUGGCAAUGUAAGUCUGCUGUUAAAGGGUGAGGCUCAACCUCAUAAAAGCAGUGGAAACUACAUAGCUAGAGUACGUUCGGGGCAGAGGGAAUUCCUGGUGUAGCGGUGAAAUGCGUAGAGAUCAGGAAGAACACCGGUGGCGAAAGCGCUCUGCUAGGCCGCAACUGACACUGAGGGACGAAAGCUAGGGGAGCGAAUGGGAUUAGAUACCCCUGUAGUC
rnacentral:rRNA from 1 species